GUCUACAGCCAUACCACCCUGAACGCGCCCGAUCUCGUCUGAUCUCGGAAGCUAAGCAGGGUCGGGCCUGGUUAGUACUUGGAUGGGAGAUU
rnacentral:rRNA from 1 species